UAUUCCGGAUGACGGGAUAAACGGAUGAAAAGGGAAACAGGUGUGAAUCCUGUGCGAGCCCGUCGCUGUAAGAACGGAGUUUCUGUCAAGUUUGAUAUCCACUGGAUUUUUCCGGGAAGGAAGACAGAAAUGUUGAGGUUUGAGCCAGAAGACCUGCCUGCAAUGAAU
rnacentral:ncRNA from 1 species